rnacentral:rRNA from 1 species
CCACCACAGAAGGUAAUAGUCCUGUAUGUUAAACGAGAAGACUUCAGAUAUGAUCCAGAGUACCACGGGACACGUGAAACCCUGUGGGAAGCAGGAGGGACCCCCCUCCAAGGCUAAAUACUACCUAGUGACCGAUAGCGUAUAGUACCGUGAGGGAAAGGUGAAAAGAACCCCGGGAGGGGAGUGAAAUAGAACCUGAAACCCUGC